GACAGAGGAUGCAAGCGUUUAUCCGGAAUGAUUGGGCGUAAAGCGUCUGUAGGUGGCUUUUUAAGUCCGCCGUCAAAUCCCAGGGCUCAACCCUGGACAGGCGGUGGAAACUACCAAGCUGGAGUACGGUAGGGGCAGAGGGAAUUUCCGGUGGAGCGGUGAAAUGCGUAGAGAUCGGGAAGGAACACCAGUGGCGAAAGCACUCUGCUGGGCCGACACUGACACUGAGAGACGAAAAGCUAGGGGAGCGAAUGGG
rnacentral:rRNA from 1 species